CACACCGCCCGUCGCUACUACCGAUUGAAUGGCUCAGUGAGGCUUUCGGACUGGCCCAGAGAGGUCGGCAACGACCACUCAGGGCCGGAAAGUUAUCCAAACUCGGUCAUUUAGAGGAAGUAAAAGUCGUAACAAGGUCUCCGUUGGUGAACCAGCGGAGGGAUCAUU
rnacentral:rRNA from 1 species